UACGAAGGGGGCUAGCGUUGUUCGGAAUUACUGGGUGUAAAGGGUUCGUAGGCGGUGUGGCAAGUUGGGAGUGAAAUCUCUGGGCUCAACCCAGAGACGGCUUCCAAAACUGCCGUGCUUGAGUGUGGGAGAGGCUCGUGGAAUUGCAGGUGUAGCGGUGAAAUGCGUAGAUAUCUGCAGGAACACCCGUGGCGAAGGCGGGUCUCUGGGCCGAUACUGACGCUGAGGAGCGAAAGCGUGGGGAGCGAACAGG
rnacentral:rRNA from 1 species